ensembl:lncRNA
AUGGGUACAUUAAACUGUCUCCCUCAUCAACCCCCAGUGGGUCAAAUUAAGACCCCUGUCCAGUGUGCGGAGAACCCUAAAGGAUCAGGUGGAGUUAUAAUAUAUGACCAGAUGAUGUUCGCCAUGAACAAACAACACUUGGUGGCAGUUCUUCUCUCUAGAGGUGAAAAACUCUGUCAGACCAGUUCUGUUGUAAUGGCAAGUGAAGACAAGAAAGAGAAAUGAUUCCCAAGACCUUAACAUCUCACCAUUUAUACUUCAAAUAAAGGCAUUUUACCAUCAUUUGUGUCUUUGUGC